GGAGGUGGAGGGAAGCCGGAGACCGCGCAGGCGCACUCCGGCCGGGCCGACGAAACCAGCAACUCGACUCCACUCCAGGGGCCGCCUGCGAAGGGCGCAUGCGAUGCUUCUCUGCCCCCUUUCCCUUCCGGCCGGGGAAGGGAAGUGGGUGCGAAGCGAAAGUGGUCCGCCUUUCCGGGUUUUUCCGACGGCCGCGGGAGCCUUAGAAAAGGAGUGGGAUGGCGUGGGAGGAGCGGGUGUAACUCCUGGGAGCCGCACACUAGUGCUUUAGUGCCGCCACUCGCCCUGUGGAGCCACCAAAGCAGCUAAUUCAUCUGGAAUGCCGGCGCGGUGAUGUACCUCGCGACCUCUAACCUCUCCCAGGAUUGCACGCCGGGUGCGUUCCACGCAUGCUCAGUCUUUCUGGGCCGUUCCUGGAGCUGGCUCUCCGGCUGACUGUUGACAGAACUGUCUCGAGUUCCGGUGCCCAGACAAGUGCAGGAGAGGCAGCUCCUCCGAGGAAAGGGGAGCCGGAGCUGGAAGACCCUCCCUGUCGUGGGGAGUGGGGCCGUCCAGCUGCCCCCCCCUUUUUUCGCAUGUCGGUCCCGCGCGAAAGCCCCCGAAAAAGCGCCAAGUGCCAUGGUCCCUGGACCCUCACCCCUCCCCGCCGCGGUGGCCUGUGUCCAGGUGUCCCAGGCGCGUGUCAUUGGGCAGCAGAUGGAGCUGCAGCUACAGUCCGCCAGCAAAGUAGGGUUGUAAACAUCUCACAAGUAGCAACAGCCCCAUUGAUGAGGAAACUAAAGCUCAGAGGGCUUGUGACCAGCCUUAGGUCACCUACCUGCGAAGUGGAGAAGCCAGGACCGUUGGGGUUCUCUGAUUCCAGACUGUGCCUUUAACCAGUGGACUCUACCGCCCCCUAGUGGAUCCCCUGGUCUUGCGUUGUCUCACUGAUAACCUGGUCCUCAGAAUGUCCUGCUUCCGCCUGGACUCCGUUCCCCUGGGCUGCGAAGAAGGUGCAGAUUUUGGUCUGGAAAUAACAGGUGACUUGCUGCCAUUCAUUGUAUUUGUUCUUUCCCAAGGUUUUCUUGUUAGUUCAGGUGUUCAGGUACUUGUUCAGGUUGUUCAGAUUGUUCAGGUACUUGUUGAAGAGGCCUUAGAAGUUACAGGCUCUGAAUCUUCAUUUUUGUCCUCUUUUUGUUCUGUUUCUAUUGUUUAUCCUUUUUCAGCAGUUCUUCUCCUCCUGGCCAGCAGGGCACUCAUUUCUUGCAUUAAACCACUACCCCUUAAAGGAAGGGGUCCCUUUCCUUAUCUGUUUUAGAUAAGGCCGAAUUCACACCAAUGAAUUGGGAAAGAGGCAUCCUCCAUUCAUGACACUUUACGAAGUUUUGCUCCAGCAAUUGCAGCUGCAAGUCCAGUUAAAGGGCGGUUGUCUUCAGAUGUGGAUCCCGAAAAAAAUCCAGAUGCAGGGAGGGGAGGGGCAGGUGGUGGAG